rnacentral:lncRNA from 1 species
UCAAGGGUGAGCAGACUGUCCUGAAGAAAUUCUGGCCGGAAAGUACUGUAGCUGCCGGAAAAUCAAUAAAGUCGCCGGAAAAAACUCAAAGUUGUCGGAAUCGAACGAAAAAAAGAUGGGUAGGGUCGGAAUUGAAGGGCGAGCAAACUGUCCUGAAGGGGUCACCGGAAAAAAUGGCCGGAAGUGGUGCCACGCGCCGGCGCGUGGGCUCACGCGCCGAAGG